AUUGAACGCUGGCGGCAGGCCUAACACAUGCAAGUCGAACGAGUGGCGGACGGGUGAGUAAUGUCUGGGAAACUGCCUGAUGGAGGGGGAUAACUACUGGAAACGGUAGCUAAUACCGCAUACCAUCGGAUGUGCCCAGAUGAGAUUAGAUAGUAGGUGGGGUAACGGCUCACCUAGGCGACGAUCCCUAGCUGUGCUGAGAGGAUGACCAGCCACACUGGAACUGAGACACGGUCCAGACUCCUACGUGAGGCAGCAGUGUGGAAUAGUGCACAAUGGGCGCAAGCCUGAUGCAGCCAUGCCGCGUGUAUGAAGAAGGCCUUCGGGUUGUAAAGUACGUUCAGCGGUGAGGCGUGACCCGCAGAAGAAGCACCGGCUAACUCCGUGCCAGCAGCCGCGGUAAUUC
rnacentral:rRNA from 1 species